AAGCUUAAACAACUCAUUAGUAUUCAAUAUAUACUCAAAUAUUUUAUUCCUAUCAAAAUCAAUUCGAGAGCAAAUAAUAUUUUCGUAUUUAAAAGCCUACCAUCUAUAUCUUCCUUUAGCCACAAUAUCUACCUCAGGACACAGAGGUUUGGUUAAAUCCACUUGAAGGCAUGCUUUAGCAUAUCCUCACUUGACAACUUAAUACAGUUAUCUCUAAACUUAGGAAUACUAGUAGUAGAGGUGAUCUAAAAGUGCAUGGGUUUUUCCAUAUUUCUAUGGGA
rnacentral:lncRNA from 1 species